UGAGGAAUAUUGCGCAAUGGGCGAAAGCCUGACGCAGCGACGCCGCGUGGGGGAUGAAGGCCUUCGGGUUGUAAACCCCUUUCAGGAGGGAAGAUGGGACGGGCAACCGUUCGGACGGUACCUCCAGAAGCAGCCACGGCUAACUCUGUGCCAGCAGCCGCGGUAAGACAGAGGUGGCGAGCGUUGUUCGGAUUUACUGGGCGUAAAGAGUGCGUAGGUGGUGAGGUAAGAUCUGUGGGAAAGACCUGGGCUUAACCCAGGAAGGUCGCAGAUGACUGCCUCGCUUGAGGACGGGAGAGGAGAGCGGAAUUCCCGGUGUAGCGGUGAAAUGCGUAGAGAUCGGGAAGAAGGCCGGUGGCGAAGGCGGCUCUCUGGAACGUUCCUGACACUGAGGCACGAAAGCGUGGGGAGCAAACAG
rnacentral:rRNA from 1 species